rnacentral:rRNA from 1 species
GAUGAACGCUAGCUAUAGGCUUAACACAUGCAAGUCGAGGGACCGGCGCACGGGUGAGUAACGCGUAUCCAACCUGCCCAUAACUAAGGGAUAACCCAGCGAAAGUUGGACUAAUACCUUAUGGUUAUGGAUGUGGAUACGUUGGAUUAGCUUGUUGGCGGGGGAACGGCCCACCAAGGCAACGAUCAGUAGGGGUUCUGAGAGGAAGGUCCCCUACAUAGGAUAUAAGACACGGUCCAAAAUCCUACGGGAGGCAGCAGUUAGGGAUAUUUGUCAAUGGACGCAAGGCUGAAACAGCCAAGUAGCGUGCAGGAGGACGGCCUAUGGGUUGUAAACUGCUUUUAUAUGGGGAGAGGUACCAUAUGAAUAAGGACCGGCUAAUUCAGUGCCAGCAGCCGCGGUAAUAC